rnacentral:rRNA from 1 species
CAGCAGCCGCGGUAAUACGGGGGGGGUAAGCGUUGUUCGGAAUUACUGGGCGUAAAGGGCUCGUAGGCGGCCAACUAAGUCAUACGUGAAAUCCCUCAGCUUAACUGGGGAACUGCGUGUGAUACUGGAUGGCUUGGAUUUGGGAGAGGGAUGCGGAAUUCCAGGUGUAGCGGUGAAAUGCGUAGAUAUCUGGAGGAACACCGGUGGCGAAGGCGGCAUCCUGGACCAAUAUUGACGCUGAGGAGCGAAAGCCAGGGGAGCAAACGGG